CUAAUACCGGAUAACACUCUGUCCUGCAUGGGACGGGGUUAAAAGCUCCGGCGGUGAAGGAUGAGCCCGCGGCCUAUCAGCUUGUUGGUGGGGUAAUGGCCUACCAAGGCGACGACGGGUAGCCGGCCUGAGAGGGCGACCGGCCACACUGGGACUGAGACACGGCCCAGACUCCUACGGGAGGCAGCAGUGGGGAAUAUUGCACAAUGGGCGAAAGGCUGAUGCAGCGACGCCGCGUGAGGGAUGACGGCCUUCGGGUUGUAAACCUCUUUCAGCAGGGAAGAAGCGAAAGUGACGGUACCUGCAGAAGAAGCGCCGGCUAACUACGUGCCAGCAGCCGCGGUAAUACGUAGGGCGCAAGCGUUGUCCGGAAUUAUUGGGCGUAAAGAGCUCGUAGGCGGCUUGUCACGUCGGAUGUGAAAGCCCGGGGCUUAACCCCGGGUCUGCAUUCGAUACGGGCUAGCUAGAGUGUGGUAGGGG
rnacentral:rRNA from 1 species